UACGGAAGGGGCAAGCGUUGUUCGGAAUCAUUGGGCGUAAAGGGCGCGUAGGUGGUUCUGUAUGUCUACCGUGAAAGCAUACAGCUCAACUGUAUUUUGUCGGUAGAAACUGCAGGACCUGAGGCUGGGAGGGGCUGGUGGAAUUCCCUGUGUAGCGGUGAAAUGCGUAGAGAUGGGGGAGAACACUCGUGGCGAAGGCGGCCAGCUAGACCAGUUCUGACACUGAGGCGCGACAGCGUGGGGAGCAAACAGG
rnacentral:rRNA from 1 species